GACGAACCGAGCGAACGUUGUUCGGAAUAACUGGGCUUAAAGGGCGCGUAGGCGGGCUGUCAAGUCUGGGGUGAAAUCCCGCGGCUCAACCGCGGAACCGCCUCAGAUACUGACGGCCUCGAGGGGGGUAGGGGCGAGCGGAACUAAUGGUGGAGCGGUGAAAUGCGUUGAUAUCAUUAGGAACUCCGGUGGCGAAGGCGGCUCGCUGGACCUCUUCUGACGCUGAGGCGCGAAAGCUAGGGGAGCAAACGGG
rnacentral:rRNA from 1 species